rnacentral:rRNA from 1 species
GAUUAUGGCUCAGGAUAAACGCUAGCGGCGUGCCUUAUGCAUGCAAGUCGAGCGGUCUGGAGCAAUCCAGACAGCGGCAAACGGCUGAGUAACACGUAAGCAAUCUGUCCUUAAGUGGGGAAUAACACCGGGAAACCGGUGCUAAUACCGCAUGUGGUAGUGGAGGUAGGUUUCCAUUACUAAAGCUUUCGGGCGCUUGAGGAGGGGCUUGCGUCCUAUCAGGUAGUUGGUGGGGUAACGGCUCACCAAGCCUACGACGGGUAGCUGGUUUGAGAGGACGUCCAGCCAGACGGGGACUGAGACACGGCCCCGACUCCUACGGGAGGCAGCAGCAAGGAAUUUUGCGCAAUGGGCGAAAGCCCUGACGCAGCAACGCCGCGUGAGGGAAGAAGACCUUCGGGUUGUAAACCUCUUUUCCCAGGGAAGAAUAAUGACGGUACCUGGGGAAUAAGUCACGGCUAACUACGUGCCAGCAGCUGC